UUUCCCUAAAGUUUACAUGCAUGAACUAUAGUUAAGAUUGUCGCUCCGAAAACCAUCGUAAUGUUAGCAUGUUCAGGAUUGUUAACUUCUUGGUAAUAUAACAUUUUUACGAUCAUUCUGGUUGUCCUAAAGACGUAUUUGAGGAAAAUUUAAGGUUGGUAUUUCCGUAUUUGAUAUGUUGUUGUGAAAUGUUCGCCUCAAUGAUACUCAUGUGAUCGGACAAGGAAUUUGAUGUAAUGUCCUUACAAUUUUAGUUUGUAAUGUCUAAUAUGGAUAAACGUAGGACUGCAAUAUUUAGUUAUUAAGAAUAUGAAAUAGAUAUUUGGUAUAAAAUUAAAAUGGCUACAUAUACGCAAUAUUAUGUAUAUACCAUAUUUCAUUGACAUGUAGCCUGUGCACAUCCUGUAUUACCCUAAUGCACUAGUCAAUUGAAACCCCAGCCACCCGACCCCCGGGAAAAAGCGGGAAAAUUAACAUUUUGACAAUGUUAAACUUUGGUAAUUUCCCCGCCAUGGGGGGAAUAUUGACUGUUAAAGUUACCGCCCCUAUGGCCCGGCACUUUGCAAAUUUUCAUGACUUGGGAAAUGGGAAAUCGUUGAAGUAUAAAAUGUUCACAACAUGUGAAGGCAAUGCUUGAUCUUAAACUUUGAUCCGCAUCAAAAGAUACUGAAUAAGUCUACGUUUCGACUAUUUUGCAGUCAUCAUCAGGAAAGUGAAAAUAUAUUUCCUUUUUUUUUAAGAAAAACUAUGAGGAAACAAUGAUAAAACAGACAAAAGUUUAUAAAAUAUCUUCUCUGACUUCGAAGAUUCCGCCAUGUUGCCACGACGAUAAACACGUUCCAGUCCACUUUCGUAUCAGCCGCGCGUUAAAGUCCCGGCUAUUGUCCCGGCUAAUAAAUUGACUUGUUAUUUCCCCUGUACCCCGGGGAAAAUGGUGCAUUAAACCUGUGUUAAUCCACGGCCAUUCCCCCGUUAAUUCCCCGCCCUGUCCCGGGGGUCGGGAGGCCGGGGUUUCAAUUGACUAGUGCAUAAUUGACAUGUAAUGUAUCAGUCAAUUCCAGCGGUGGCCACAGGGCCGUAGCUAGCAUGUAUAGUUGGGGGGGGGGGGGGGGUGUAAGCCAAAAAUUUCCGAAUGACAAAAAAAAAAUUCCAAAUAUUUCAUGGUGUACGAAGCCACAAAAGUGUUUGCUAUCCGGAAAAAGAAGAUGCAACUUACAAACAAAAAUACGCAUAUUGUACGCACAGACAUAUUACAGAAGCAUACAGUGCCAUAGGAAGCUCUUUUUGAUUGGGGGUGGGAACGAGGGCCGAAGGCCCGAGGAAAUUUUUAAAUUUAGAUUCUCUGAAAUGCCAUUUCCUAGACUUUGGGGGAAGUUUUUACAGAAUUCUGAUGGUCAAAAAACAGAGUUUUAGUAUGAUAUUUGUGAUGUUACUUUGAGUAUGCAUUCACACCGGGUGAAAAGUUUGUUUGGUCACAGUGAGGUGUCGAACCUGCGACCUUUGGGAUACUAGUCAAAUGCUCUGCCAACUGAGCUACGUGGUCAAGUCGGUUCGAUUUCUUGAUAUUUUGGAACUGAAUAUAGUUCCUUCAAUAUCAGUGUAAUCUAUGAUAUGAUUUUUGUGUGUGUGUCGCUGUUAUAUACUUAGGUGAAUAUGUUUGUGAUGUUACUCUGAGUGUGCAUCUACACCGGGCAAGCUCAAAAAUUUUCUUGGCCACGGCGGAAAUGAGGGAAUCGAACCCGCGACCUUUGAGAUACUAGCCCAAUGCUCUGUCAUAUGCAACUGAGCUACGUGGUCAAGUCGGUUCGAGUUGUUAAUAGAGUUUUAGUAUGUCGAAAUCUGUUACAAUUUGCUUACAAUUUAGUAGUACUAAAUGAACAAAGGCGUAUUAAUUAACUUUACACUGGAGAAGUUGCAGGAAAGAGUAAGGGUAAUAUGAUUCUUUGCGGGUUGUCAUGGAUAAUGUAGACGCUUAGAAUUAAUCAAUUGUCAGUAUUUUAAAAGUAUAUUAUUUAAAUGAUUCCUACCAGGUUCGAUUCCUACCAGAGGACCUUGUGCUGCAUUUUUCGCAGUCGUUCCUGGUAGGUCUUAAAAUGUACUAUAUAUUCUUACUUGGAUUACAAACCCUAACAUCCUAAUGAAAUUUUCUUAUAUUAUUAUUGCCGUAAUUUUCCGAAUGGCCAACCUGAUUUUCCGAAUAUGUUAAUUUUACAAUAUCCCCCUUGCUACGGCCCUGGGUGCCCCCUGGGGGGGGGAGGGGGUAUGAAAAUUUUUCGGCACAAAUUUUUUGCAGGAUUUGUUUAUGCAUUUAACUCUGCAGGAUUGUUUUAUGCAUUUAACCUCUGCAAGAAUUUUUUUUUCAAAACUAUUUGCACUAACGCCAAUUUACUACGUUUUUUAUUAUACUCGUAAUCUGAUUGCUUCACAGGUGUGCGAUUUCAGCACGAUUCGCACUGCGAUUCGUGCUGAAAUCGCACCUUCUUUCAACCAAUCACAUUAGAGUGCUGAUUUCAGCCCAAUCAUAUUUAAUCAUAGCAUUCAAACUGAAACAGCCAAUCAAUUUUAAAGAAAAAUGUGAUAUGGCAAGUGAGCAAAAACAAAAAAAUUACAGAUGUUUUAUUUAUUUAUUUAUUAACUUUACAACCAUACAUAAAAUAGAUUAAACCACUACAUAAUAUGGUUGAAGGUAUGGUUAACAGGACAUGAAUAGCCCCAUGUGAAGACCAACCUCAUGUCAUGAAUGAUUUAAAAUUAAGCAAUUUUUUGCACAUAAAAAACAAACUAGUAAUAUGGAUAGUUACAGUGAACUAUCAAAGAAUUUCAAAUUUUCAUGUUUUACAAAUAGUAACAAGCAAAUUAAGAACAUAAUUUUCUAUCAAAUUGAACGUAUAAAAUAUAAAUUUAAUAGCAAGACCUCAUCUUGUUCGCUUAUUGUUGCUAUGCUACAACACUCAGGAAGGUACCGGAGGUGUGUCUUUUGCAAACAAAAACGUUUUUAUACAAAAAUGUUUAAGAUUUCAAAAUGAAUAUAAUAUAAUAUUAAAUGAAACAUGCAUUAAUGAUUAAACAUCUUUUACAAUAGAAAACUUUAUAUAUAAAACAUUCAUAUAAAAACUUUAAAUAAAAAGUUGCUGUUUGCUUGCACGAUUUUUUUUUCUCUGACGUAAUGACUGCAGGAAUUUUUUUUCCCAGGCAUUUUCCUUCGUACGAACUUUUUGGGGGAAUUUUUACUCCCCCCCCCCUCCCGGGAUUUCUAAUUGUCCGGCGAACAAUACAAGUGCCGUGGCGUAGCAAACUCGAUAAUUGGGGGGGGGGCAAUAUUCACAUUUUCGUGUUCACAAACCUUAAAAACAAUUGAUUUCAAAAGAAAUUAAUGAUGCAAAACACGAAUAUAUGAAUAUUGCCCCCCAAUUAUCGAGUUUGGUACGCCACUGUAUAAGUGCGAAGUACAAAAAAAAGUUCUACAACAGGAUAAAAAUGCUUUAAUAUUAAUGCAACACUGUAUAAAUUCUCAACCCUAACGUCGGCGCAUCUACUGUAGCUAGACCUAUGAUAAUAUAAUGUCAACCUUUGAAAAUCUUAUAUAUCUUUACUUAAAGGUCCAGACACACUGGACGCUAUUCGACAACGCGACGCGAUUUUUCGAUUUUCACUGACCGAUAACUUUGAUCCUAGUAGUUAAACUUUCUAAAUAUUUAGAAGCGUUAUAACAUUUUGAGUUAUUUGGUCUAAAUAUCUUUUAAAAUUUGCUUUAUUAAUUAGUUUUAUUAACAUUCAAAAACUAAAAAAUCCAACGAAAUCUGCCAUGUUAUAGUUCGCCAAUUGCCACGAUGGAAAACGUCUAAGUCCCCACCCCCGGGCUGAAAAAUUUCGGCAAUAGCAUCACCCCCGGGAUUAGGAAAGCUGCGAAGGCCUAGGGGUGGCCCGGGGGGAUGGGCACUCCUGGAAUUGACUGAUACAUAAAUCAUGCAUGGCCGCAUGUUUUAAUACUUUCGAAGUUCCUAUUCAAGGUAGACGUUUAAUUGAAUAGUGUUUCAGUACUUACUAGGCUUUGGAAGUAGGAAAUCUAAUCUGUUACGUGUGGGAUAGACAAUGAUCACGUGUGUUCAGUGGGAUAUAGACUCCCAAGAAUUAGUUAGACGGCCGCGAGGGCCGAAGGCCCGAGUGGCAGUCUAACUAAUUCGAGGGAGUCUAUAAUCCCACUGAACACACGUGAUUAGAACAUGAUAACCAACUUAGAACAUGAUCACACCCACGAGGAAUGUCUGGUUUAAUUAUGUGUAUUGUUAACAAAUAAUUAGUAUUGUGUUCCUUUUUAAUUAUGAUGAAAUAGGUUUUUUCGGGCAUUAUUUUAUUUUGCCGAAGGGAUUUUAACUACAAUGUUUGGUCUUUGUUUGGUUUUCAGGGUUUGAUCGAUUCGGUUUUAGGGUUUUAUUAAUAUGUCAGUGAUAGGCAUAGGCGUUUUUCGAAAGCAUGGACGGGCUGUUGCAGCGAAGCAAUUGAAGCGAUUAAUGCGACGCAAGAUUUCUUGCUUUCUGAACCAGUAGAUAUUUCAAAAUAUUUGGACGAAGAAGGAGAGUGUGGUAGGUUCGAAAAUUGAAACGGCCGUAGACGAAUAUUCUUCGGUUACAUUUACUUUUAAAACGACAAACGUGAAAGAGGUCGACUAUUGGUUAACAAGAUUUAUUUUGGAAGCUAGGAGAGGGAGGAUGGGAAGCCAUACCCAGCAAACAGUUACUAACAUUGCUACUGGGCUAUUGAGACAUUUCAAAAACGAUCUUAAGAGGUUUCAUUUGAACAUCCUGGCAAAGAACGACGCCAAUUUUUCAUAAUUUAUAGAAACGCUUGGAUUCAAAGAUGAAAGAAAUGACAAGUGCUGCCAUUAGCACGACGAAAUAUGUGUCAGAUCAUUUAACGUUAGCAGAGGAAGAACUGUUCUCGUCGUCAGGCACUAUUGGUUACUGAACGAUACUCAUUUAUUAUAUCUCCGGCGGGCGUGCGGGCGAGCGUGUGUGUGCAUGGGAGUGUUGAGUGUGUCUAUUUGUGUGUGUUUGUAUUUGUGUAAGGAUUGUGUGAAUAUAUACAGCUGUAUUUUUGAGCUUUAUAUUAAAUAACAAUUUUUGCAGUAAACAAUUUUGUCUUUGACGCCUUUAAAUGUAACUCAUUAGUAUGCC
rnacentral:lncRNA from 1 species